CACAGGGAGAACAUGCAAACUCCAUGCAGAAAGACCCCGGGCCGGGAAUCAAACCCAGAACCUUCUUGCUGCAAGGCAACAAACAGCUCUACCAGCUGCGCCAACUGUGCAGCCCCUUUGAGUCCCUUUCCAGCUCAAA